rnacentral:tRNA from 1 species
GCGGGGAUGGCGGAAUCGGCAGACGCGCUAUCUUGAGGGGGUAGUGAGUGAAUGCUCGUGUGGGUUCAAGUCCCACUCUCCGCACCA